CAGGGUUGUUACAGCAACAUGGAGAGUAGGGAGGACCAGACCUCCUUUUCCUCCACAACAGGUUCCAGAGCCUCCUGGGGGAUUCCCCAGA